rnacentral:tRNA from 3 species
CAAGAAAUAGUUUAAUAAAAAUGUCAAUUUUGGAGAUUGAUGAUAAAAAAAUUUUUUUUUCUUGA